rnacentral:rRNA from 1 species
UACAGAGGGGGCAAGCGUUAUUCGGAAUUAUUGGGCGUAAAGGGCGCGUAGGCGGCCUGGCAAGUGGAAGGUGAAAUCCCUCGGCUUAACCGAGGAACUGCCCUCCAAACUGCUUGGCUUGAGACCGGGAGAGGUGAGUGGAAUUCCCAGUGUAGCGGCGAAAUGCGUAGAUAUUGGGAGGAACACCAGUGGCGAAGGCGGCUCACUGGACCGGUACUGACGCUGCGGCGCGAAAGCGUGGGGAGCAAACAGG